UUUAAGGUCUAACCUGCCCAAUGAGGAUUUAAAUGGCCGCAGUAUUUUGACUGUGCAAAGGUAGCAUAAUUAUUAGUUUUUUAAUUGAAAGCUUGUAUGAAGGGUUGGACGAGAUGAAAUCUGUCUUUAUUUAAAUUAAAAUAUAAUUUAACUUUUAAGUAAAAAGGCUUAAAUGUUUAUAAAAGACGAGAAGACCCUAUAGAUCUUUAUUUAAUUAAAAUUUUAAUAAUUUAGGAUUAUUUUAAUUUAAAGUUUUAAUUAAAUUUUAUUGGGGUAAUAUAAAGAUUAAAUAAAUUCUUUUUAUUUAUAACAUUGAUUUAUGAAUAUAUGAUCCAUUAAUAUUGAUUAUAAGAUUAAGUUACCUUAGGGAUAACAGCGUAAUUUUUUUGGAGAGCUCAUAUCGAUAAAAAAGUUUGCGACCUCGAUGUUGGAUUAAAAAUUAGCUUGGGUGCAGAAGCUCAAGAUUUUGGUCUGUUCGACCAUUAAAUUUUUACAUGAUCUGAGUUCAGACCGGCGUGAGCCAGGUCGGUUUCUAUCUUUAUUAAGAUAAAAUGUUUUAGUACGAAAGGACCAAAUAUUUAAUAUAAUUAUAUUUAUUUUUU
rnacentral:rRNA from 8 species